rnacentral:rRNA from 1 species
GAGUUUGAUCCUGGCUCAGGAUGAACGCUAGCGGCAGGCUUAACACAUGCAAGUCGAGGGGUAACAGGGAUUGCUUGCAAUCCGCUGACGACCGGCGCACGGGUGCGUAACGCGUAUGCAACCUACCUUCUACAGGGGGAUAGUCAAUAGAAAUGUUGAAUAAUACCCCAUACGAUCUUUGAAUAGCAUUAUUUAAAGAAGAAAGUUCCGGCGGUAGAAGAUGGGCAUGCGUCCUAUUAGUUAGUUGGAGAGGUAACGGCUCCCCAAGACAUCGAUAGGUAGGGGUCCUGAGAGGGAGACCCCCCACACUGGUACUGAGACACGGACCAGACUCCUACGGGAGGCAGCAGUGAGGAAUAUUGGACAAUGGAGGCAACUCUGAUCCAGCCAUGCCGCGUGCAGGAAGACUGCCCUAUGGGUUGUAAACUGCUUUUAUACAGGAAGAAAUGUACCUACGUGUAGGUAUUUGACGGUACUGUACGAAUAAGGAUCGGCUAACUCCGUGCCAGCAGCCGCGGUAAUA